rnacentral:rRNA from 1 species
UGCAGUCGAACGGUAACAGGCCGCAAGGUGCUGACGAGUGGCGAACGGGUGAGUAAUGCAUCGGAACGUGCCCAGUCGUGGGGGAUAACGCAGCGAAAGCUGCGCUAAUACCGCAUACGAUCUAUGGAUGAAAGCGGGGGACCAUAAGGCCUCGCGCGAUUGGAGCGGCCGAUGUCAGAUUAGGUAGUUGGUGGGGUAAAGGCUCACCAAGCCAACGAUCUGUAGCUGGUCUGAGAGGACGACCAGCCACACUGGGACUGAGACACGGCCCAGACUCAUACGGGAGGCAGCAGUGGGGAAUUUUGGACAAUGGGCGCAAGCCUGAUCCAGCAAUGCCGCGUGCAGGAAGAAGGCCUUCGGGUUGUAAACUGCUUUUGUACGGAACGAAACGGUCUGGGUUAAUACCUCGGGCUAAUGACGGUACCGUAAGAAUAAGCACCGGCUAACUACGUGCCAGCAGCCGCGGUAAUACGUAGGGUGCAAGCGUUAAUCGGAAUUACUGGGCGUAAAGCGUGCGCAGGCGGUUUUGUAAGACAGGCGUGAAAUCCCCGGGCUCAACCUGGGAAUGGCGCUUGUGACUGCAAGGCUGGAGUGCGGCAGAGGGGGAUGGAAUUCCGCGUGUAGCAGUGAAAUGCGUAGAUAUGCGGAGG